UAUUAAAAAUUUGAUCCAUUCAUAAUGUUAAAAACUAACGUGACUGAUGAAAUAUCCAUACAAUGACAUGUGGCGUGUCACAUGUACCUCAUGCUAAGGUAUAGUGACCGGCUUUUAAUAGUAGAAAUGAAUAAAAUUUUUAAUA
rfam:Gossypium raimondii Chr12_contig_106, whole genome shotgun sequence.